GAUGAAGAACGUAGCGAAAUGCGAUACGUAAUGUGAAUUGCAGAAUUCAGUGAAUCAUCGAAUCUUUGAACGCAUAUUGCGCUCUCUGGUAUUCCGGAGAGCAUGCUUGUUUGAGUAUCAGUAAACACCUCAACUUCCAUAUCUUUUUUGAAAUGGGAGUUGGACUUGAGUGAUCCCAACGCUUUUCCUCACCGAAAAGUGGCGGGUUACUUGAAAUGCAGGUGCAGCUGGACUUUUCUCUGAGCUUUAAGCAUAUCUAUUUAGUCUGCCUAAAAAACAGAUUAUUACCUUUGCUGCAGCUAACAUAAAGGAGAUUAGUUCUUGUGCUGACUGAUGCAGGAUUCACAAAGACGGCUUCGGCCGACUUUGUAAACUCGAUCUCAAAUCAAGUAAGACUACCCGCUGAACUUAAGCAUAUCAAUAAGCGGAGGA
rnacentral:misc_RNA from 1 species